AGCGCUCCUCCCCGAUCCCCUCGACUAAACGCCGCUGCCCUCGUGCGAUCCCGAUCCCCUUGACUAAACGCAGCGUGCGAUCCCCUCCCCUCGAGUAAACGCCGCCGAUGACCUCCCGGAUCUUGUGCGAUCUAUCUCGCUGCCGCCUACGUCCGGGGUGGCACCGUCCGGGGUCGAGGCCAACAUCGGCGUCAUCAAGUGCGGACGUCGAGGCCCCCGACUCGUGGGCCGCCGCCGCCAUCACUUCACUCCGGGUCAGGGCGUGGCUGUGACCGCCGUGCGGGCAACGAGGAGCGCCGCAAGGGCGUACCGUGGAAGGCCUGGAUCAAGGAGGAGUACAUGUAUACCCCGCGUCAAAAUCUCAACUGCAAUCCACGAAUUAAAGCAGGACUCCCUGAUCCGCUGGUUACUCAUCUCAGGUUUGUCUCUUCGCAUUAUUUCUUUCCAGAUCGAGCAAGAUAAAGUGUGACGUGUGGGAGAUUGGCCGGGGAGGAUACCGCCGUAGGUGACGCCAUGAACCGAGGCUGAUGUUGGAGAGCCGCGGCUCUGCUUGGGAGCCGACCGGUGAGAGGCAGCUCUCCGAGGUGGUGUUGCCCGUGGCGGGGAUGGACAAUCCAGUGGCCGGCCCGCACCCCUGGACGCUCCUGGGGCGGGCCAUGAUAGUGAGUGUGAUGGGUGCUGGAGCAGCAUGAUGCCAACGACCACGAGCUUUGGGUGCUUAGUGUGUUGGCGAGGCAUAGAAGGGAUGAGAGCGAGAUAGACAUGUGUGUGCAUGGAUUGAGAGAGAGGGAGGGAGAGAGAAGAAGAAUUGUGCUGCUGCAGGAACAGGUGUACGUUCUAUAACAUCUAUACUUUAGUUGGAAAUGGCAGCUUCACUGAACUGCAUCAGUUGUAAGCUUCCCUAAAUUCAUAUAUAUCUAUAAAGUAGGGCACUUCUACCUCCCUGUAGUAAUAAAGAAGUAUACUGAAAAAUUCGUAGAUGAUUAAUACUAUUUCGUUUGCAGGUUCAGCCAAUUCCUUUGAGGUAUUAACAAGUAGCCGAGCUUUUGGUGUCAUCUCUACUCAGGGAAAUACAUGUCAAAUCCUCAUACAAAAUGUUGAUCUAUUGUUCUUCUAGAAUUAUAGAUUUCCGAAUAAUUAGAUGGCCAGUUAUGCAACACAAUAUUCCCAUAGUAUUGAAAUCUUAUGUUCUCCAAAGUGUCCUUCAGCAAAUGGCACUUGAACUUAAUAUGGGAUACUCCAAAUCUAUAAGAGCAGGCUAUAUCUGAUAUUUUCUUCAUACAAAGUCGGCAGACUUGAUUUGUGUUUUCCCCUACUUGUCAAUAUGAUGGCCCGUUGUAAAUAAAUGAGGCUUGGACAUCACUUGUACUUGGGAACUACUUUUCAGUGACAGCUGUAUUGACGAAGGUACUCUUUGUUUUCUUAAAGAUUGAUUUCUUCGGUGGUGUGUGUUUUACUUUACAGUUUUGAUAAGAUUCCAUGGCCAAUACACUUUUUUCACAGUUUACAGCAGAUUACAGCAGCCUCAAAGGUAAAAUGAUCUGAAUAUUUUUUUCACAAUACACUGGUAGUACAUAGUAAUAGCCCUCUUAAUAAUUUCUAUAUAGAAGUAAGAUCUGAACAUUUUGUUGAGUUGUUUUUGCACCAGAUCGUUGGCCAUUAACGGUUAUCUAUGGCACUAAAACUUGUUGAUCUCAACACAUUCACGUCACAACACUUGUUGGCUGAAACAUGUGCAUUAGCACCAAAGAAGUUGAGGUCAAAUUAAUGAGGAGUUGUGUGAUCUGAGGAGAAACUAUUCUCUUGCAAAUCGGAUAGUUGUUGUAGGAAUUAAAAGGCACAUGAUUGUACUGGGAUUUUGUUUCUACACGUUCCUCGGCCCUAAUGUCUACAUGAGGUGUGAGUUCAACGGGUCGAGGAAAUCACAUUACUAUAAAAAUGAUGCCGCAGCAAAGAAAAUGCUGUCAGCCUUGGACGAUCCAUUCACUCGAUUCUUGAAACCAUUACCUUUUUUGAAGCAAGAAUAGCUAGCACCCAAGGUGCCCUCGCAGGUGUAGGUUUAUCCAUUGGCUACCCGUUGGAGCAUCACUUGCAGGGCUCUCUGUAAUGUCACUUUUUGUAGAAAUGACUCUCUAGAGACGCGACAUAAGAGCGCAAAAACAUUUGACAUCAGAUCGCUUAUGAUAACACAUCCAAGGAAGGAAGGAGAUUGAGGUCGGCGCCUCCUGAAGGCAUGCAUGCUUGUCACUGAGAGAGGGAAGGGCAUCUCUUUUUUUGGGUUGCAAUUUCCACCUUGUUGUUGGGUGAGCUGAUUUGUUGUUUGUCAUACCUCUUGUGGAUAAUCAGACAUGGGGUGCAUGGCAAAAUUAGGACAGACUGAAGGCAGCAGAUUCCGUGUCGGCCGUGCACUUUGAGGAGGACAUUGUCUUUGUAUAAGUGCCCUACAAUCGUCCCUUUAUAGCCACAGAUAAGGCCUUCAGAAUCAAAGGUUCAGGAGGACUUUUGUUGCACUAAUGCUUCUUCGUUGACCAUCUCGCCGUUCUCCCUUGCAUAUGGAUAUGGCCGCAUAAAUCGCACCGAUGGAUCCAGUCCUUCGCCAGGUCCAACGUGCCUGCACCGGCCUCAAGCACGGGAGACACUAUAACCUUGUGAUCUAACUGGUUACCACAAUCAAAUCCAUUUUUGCCCAUUUAAAUUGGUUCGCUCAGUUUUGUUGAUAACUGAGUUUCAUUGGUUAUAUAUACUGAAGUGUCUUUGUCAUUUUGUUUUACAAUAUAUUCUAAUUGUCAGGAUUUUUGCUACAUUUUUGGUGUAGAUUUUAGGGACAUUACCGUAGUGCUAAUGCCUUCCGUGCAGGUUAUCCAGUCAGCGCAUAUUCUGUCUUUUAGCAUGUGUAUGCUUUGCUCUUGUGCCCAUGUAAUCGUGACCUGUAAUCAGUCCAUGAUCCUUGUGUGACGUGAUCACAGAAGUUGGGCAUAACUGCAUUGUUACUGAGAAGAUGCGAAUAUUAACUUAGGGAUCGGAGCUGAAGCUCUGGCCGAUAGCAAAGAUAUGAAGUCUGAGCUCUGUCUAUGUUUGCAAGUAUAUUGUUGUGACUUCACUCUUGCCCCCGUAUUGGGCAGAUGCUUCAGAAUGGAGUCACUUCUAUGUGUAUGGCCGCUGUAACCACAC